rnacentral:rRNA from 1 species
UUAGUCUUUUAAUUGGGGACUGGAAUGAAAGGGUAAACUGGAAAAACUUUUUUUGGGGUGAGGGAAUGAAGUUGGCUUUUUAGUAAGAAGACUAAAAUAAUUCUUUAAGACGAGAAGACCCUAUAAAACUUUAUAUUUAAUUUCUUUUAAAAGAGAGCGUAAAUAUUUUACUGGGGCGGUAGGGAAAAGAUCUUUUCUUGAAUUUUAAAACUUUUAAGUUUUUAUAUCUAAAAUUUUUAAAAGAAGAAUAAGUUACUUUAGGGAUAACAGCUUAAUUGACUUUGAAAGUUCUAAUUGACAAGUGAGUUUGUGACCUCGAUGUUGA